rnacentral:misc_RNA from 1 species
GAUGAAGAACGCAGCGAAAUGCGAUACGUAAUGUGAAUUGCAGAUUUCAGUGAAUCAUCGAAUCUUUGAACGCACAUUGCGCCCGCCAGUAUUCUGGCGGGCAUGCCUGUUCGAGCGUCAUUUCAACCAUCAAGCGCCUCGCUUGUGUUGGGGCCCUGCGGCUGCCGCAGGCCCCUAAAUCCAGUGGCGGGCUCGUCGUCGUACCGAGUGCAGUAAACAUCCUCGCUCAGGGAACCCGACGGGUGCCGGCCGUGAAACCCCCCCUCCUCAAGGUUGACCUCGGAUCAGGUAGGAAUACCCGCUGAACUUAAGCAUAUCAAUAAGCGGAG